rnacentral:tRNA from 1 species
UCCGAUAUGGUGUAGAGGUAACAUCGCUGUCUCUCAAGAAGUCACAGCAGCCCCGGGUUCGAUUCCCGGUGUCGGAA